rnacentral:lncRNA from 1 species
UCCCUCAGAAAUCGUUUCCCUUGAACAGGUACCCCGGGAGGGUCCCUACCAAGGCGGUGCCCCGUCUGCACUCUACUGCAGAGCAUCGCGGAACGUUGGACCAAACGGAAAGCUAAGUAUCUGAACAUGAACGCUGAAUUCGCUAAGAGCUGAACGAAACUGAGCACUGCCCCGCUGGGUGUGUAACAUCCCAAAAUUUCAAACCUUUACAUGUGCAUUGCAUCCAUGAGCAUCAUGCCACAAUUGCAUGUUUGAAUUCAAAUUUUGAAUCACAAAAGGCUUUAAGAGAUUUUGUUUACAUCCCUGUAACCUUUGGAUUUUCAAACCGAUAGGGUUGAUGUAUAAAAAGGGUUUAAUGCAUAUAUAAGCUAUCCCAUAAUUUUUGGAUAAUGGUUUGGAGUUGAAAAAGUAUUUUAUUUAAACAGAUAUAUGGCCCUAAAGGCAUUUAUAGGGAAAAUGUAUUUUUACAUAUUUUAUUUUGAAGAGAAACUACUUCUAAAAGUUGUAUCUUGGUAGAACAUGAUUUUACAAAUUUUCUGGAAUUUGUUUGGACCAAUUUGGAGUUCAAACACAAAAGAUAUCAAAGAAAUGGGAAAAACAGAAAAAGAAAAGGCCUAAAAGAAAAAAAAAGAAAAAAAAAAGGUAAACCGGACCGGCCCGGCCAAAAUGGGCCGAACCGGCCCAGUCCAACCGCGCCCGACCGGCCCAGACCGCCCGGUCCGCGCGCGCGCCCGCAGUCGCUGACAGGUGGGGCCCACCUGUCAGCUGCGUCUUCCCCGAAGGAAAGCGCCGCCGGUCACGCGCGCGAUUUCUGGCCGCCGUCCCCGCGCGCCCGCCGCCGCAAUCCGCUCCUCCGGCCUUCCUUUUUCGCGCCCGAGCUCAUCUAUAUAACCCCCGCGACCCCCUCUUCUUUUUCCCCCGGUUUUCCCUCGCUCGCACGCCGCCAGGCCGCCGGAAUCCUUCGCCGGAGCCGCGCCCGCGCCGCCGCCCGUCUUCGUCCUAGGCGCCGACCGCGCCGUCCCUGAGCGUCGCCGACCGCACCCCCGUCUCCGCCGUGCCGCGCCGCGCCUCCCCGUGUCUUCCCCGUUGCGCCCACGUCGCCGGAGCGCCCCCGCGCCGCCGUCUCCUCCGACUCCGGCAGCCCGCGCCGCCCGGUAAACCCUAGAACUCCCCUCGUCCGUCCGAUCUAGAUCGAUGGCUAGGAUUAGAUCAUUUAUAAACCGAACCGGUACCGUCCAAUAAUAAUGCGCCACGUGGCACCUGGUUUUUAGAAAAUAAAAAUGUAAUUUUAAUCCCUCGGAAUUAAUAAAAGGCACUUUUGCAGAUAGGCCCC